rfam:Gossypium raimondii Chr03_contig_60, whole genome shotgun sequence.
UGUUAAAAUUUCAUUCAUUUGUACCGUUAAAAACUGGCGUGACUAAUGAAAUAAUCAUAUAGUGACAUAUGAUAUGCCACAUGUACCUCAUGCUGAUGCACAAAGACUAGUUUUUAACAGUAGAAAUAGAUGAAAGUUUUAACA